UUAUAUAUACAUGCAAUCCAAGGUGUACAACAAUCCAUAAGUGCAAUAUCAUCACCUCACAACUCUGAAUAGUUAAAAAUAAAUACAACUAUAAGUACAUGACUAAACAAAAGUAAACUAUCUCCAAUAGUGGCACUCCCCUCGCACGACGACCGGGGUAAACAAUGAUCUAACUUGCAACUUCUGUACCUCGAUCAGUAGCAGCAAUAGUAGCAACCGAAGGCUCUGCAAGAGAGAGUGAUAACAAUGGAUGAGGACUACUGUAAAAUAGAGUAGUUCUUAGUGGGUACCGUCACUGAUGCCAACGGCCUACCCACUAAGCUACAAAGUAAAGCUGGUAGGUAAAAAAGCAAAAGUGAAAAGUUGGAAGAAACUUUACAGCUAAUAUGCCACUACACUACUACUACUCAAAUCAUGCUCUCCGUAUAUAUGGAUCACUAGCUAUGACAUUGUCACAACAGACUCAAUCUAAAAGGACCGCCACCAGAAUAGUCCAGCCUAUGCCAACUACUCUGCGCACUACUCGUGGGGGUGGCCGAUCUAAGUAGAAUGCCCAAAAUGGCUGCUGUGACAAAAACUCGAAAAGGCCUCACUCCGAAACGGCACUCGGGGGAGCUACCCAACCGAGUAAAAGAGCGUACUCUGUCAAGCUCAAACAAACUCACGCAGGCUGUAGUUGAUGCAAAUGGUUAGAUGAAUCUAAAAACCAAAGCUCACGUGUCUUUAGCACAAUCUGAUGCAAAAAGAAAGGACUUAGGUCCACCGUUAAUCCAGACGGCACCUGACAAUACGAAACAACCUAAACACUGUUGUAAAUAUCCACUCGGCAUCUCAGCACGAGUAUUAUCUCAAUCUACAUCAAUAUGAGUAUUCGCGACGUAGUAACAGCGGCAAUACAAUUGUAAAAAUAGCUACCGAAGCUAUGUUAUGUUUAUUAGUAAUGAUAUGUCUAAGUGUAAGCUUUCUCCUAAGUCAAUUUUUAAAUUCAACAUGUAAUAAUCAUCUAAAUACUAAAGCACGUGUCCAAAUUUAGAUUUCAUAAUAUAAUAUGCAAAUCUACAAAUUGAGCUACUAAACAUAAUGAUCAACACAUAACUAUGCAUGCUGAAAUUUUCAUGACACUUUAGGAGGAAUUCCAAUGAAUUCGGUAAACUUCAACCCACCUAUAGCAUGCUAAUUCCAUCACGGAUCAAACUGAAACUCCACAGGUACCUUCCCCUAGCUCCAAUUAAAAGGAAAGUGAAGACAAAAUUCAAAAAUCCCUGUCAGAUUUAACGAAAUCAAAAGUUGAAUAAAAUUUCUAACGAAAGUCAAUAAUACAUAUGAAUUCAACUUCGGAAUCAAAUUUACUUAAUUCGGAGCCAAUGUAGGUGCAAUUUAGGCACAGAUUAGUUAGAAUCCCAUAAAACUCACUCACAAGAAAGUUGGAGUCAUAACUCCCAAAAAUGAAACUUCAAGAUCGAUAAUCAACAUUAUGACCAAAAUUACCUAAAUUGAAGCUCAAAUCCUCGCCAACUCAGCUAAAUAACUUGCCCCCCUUACUCCACACAAUGAGUUAGACCAAAAGUAGGUUUCACUUUAUCAGCUCGAAACAUCAAAAUCCAGCAAUUUCACCUUCAAGUUCAGUGGCUACAACUGGAAUGCACUGCGGUAGCUACUGCUGGACUGCACCUUGGUACUGCUAAUUCCUUACUCCACAAGAAAAUCCAAGACAAGAUGAGGUUGGAAGGCAAUUCACGAGUAAUCUUUCACUUCUAUACUACAAGAAAAAUCUAUAAUUCACUACGAAAAUCCAUCACAAAUAAGAAAUAGAGGUCAAGAAUUCAGCUUCGACGUAAAAACUAUUUUUCAGUUUUCGACCUCACUGAAAAUUGAAAUUCUCACUCAUCUUACCUCCAAAUUAGUCCAAACAAGAUUCUAAUCACUAGAGGAUGAAGUCAAGAUCAUUUCCAAUCCUUUGAAAGCUCAGCUCCCAGAAGAAAUUCAAAUGCAUUUUAUGAAAAUCUAGAGUUAACUCAAUUCACCCCAAAAAUCAGUAUUUAGCAUCGUCUUCAAUUAACUUCAAAAUUGGAGCUAUUAAUUUGACUUUUAGCUCAAGGAAGGUACGAACAGUAUCCCAACAUCCCCCUACACAAAUUUAUGCCUUCAAUUUUGAAAUUGGAGCAUCAAAACACCUCCAAUAAAGCUCCCUUUUCCCUAGUAACAGUGCUGCCAGUCUGCUGGCAGCUUGCUGCUGAGUUGUUGUUGGUGUGGUUGCUAGCUGUUGGCACGCCAAAACAACAUGCAAAAUACUAAGACAGAAAGGGAGAGUUACAAGGUUAUUUAGCUCAUUGAAGAUGGAAUUUCACACCAUAUCAACCCUUAAUUUAGCUCAACCGAACUCUCCUCCUGUCCUAGAUGAAGGUAAGCUUGUCUCCAACUCUUCUAAAACUCAGCUACAGGGGUUGAUUAAAAGAAAAUCCAUCAACUCCAAGAACUAGUCCAAAAUCAACCUAUCUUAGCCCUAAUUCAAAAUUGGAUCUAAUUACUCGAAAAUUUGGAGAUGAAAAGGAAGUGUGAGCUGAGUUGUAACACUUCCUUCUCCUACCAAAGCACUCAACCUUCAAAUUUGGAGGACUUAUAAUCAAUGGAGCUUCCCAAUUGGAGCUACAGCUGCUGUCAUCUUUCUGCUGCUACUGUAAUUUUGCUGGCAGCAAGACUGCUGCUGGAGAGGUCCUAGCAACCAGCAGAGAUGAAAAGGAAGAAGAAGGAGGCGAUGGAGAAGUGGCUGCUAGUAUUGCUUGCUCUAGCACGCAGAGAAAGAGAGGUAGAAGAAGUGUCCACUUCUGCUGCUGGUGUUCCCUUUUGCUGCUGCUAGUGGGCUGCUACUACUGCUGGUCUUGAUGUCCAGCGCAGGGAGAGAAGGCAGCAGGGAGAUGGUGGGAAGAAAGAGAAGAAAAUAGAAGAGAAGAUGAGG
rnacentral:lncRNA from 1 species